rnacentral:rRNA from 1 species
UACGUAGGUGGCAAGCGUUGUCCGGAUUUACUGGGCGUAAAGGGUGCGUAGGCGGACAUUUAAGUCUGAUGUGAAAUCCCCGAGCUUAACUUGGGUGCUGCAUUUGAAACUGGGUGUCUAGAGUGCAGGAGAGGUAAGUGGAAUUCCUAGUGUAGCGGUGAAAUGCGUAGAGAUUAGGAGGAACACCGGUGGCGAAGGCGGCCUGCUGGGCAGUGGCUGACGCUGAGGCGCGACAGCGUGGGGAGCAAACAGG